CCUACGGGAGACAGCAGUGAGGAAUAUUGGUCAAUGGACGAGAGUCUGAACCAGCCAAGUAGCGUGAAGGAUGACUGCCCUAUGGGUUGUAAACUUCUUUUAUAUGGGAAUAAAACGUUCCACGUGUGGGAUUUUGUAUGUACCAUAUGAAUAAGGAUCGGCUAACUCCGUUCCAGCAGCCGCGGUAAUACGGAGGAUCCGAGCGUUAUCCGGAUUUAUUGGGUUUAAAGGGAGCGUAGGUGGAUUGUUAAGUCAGUUGUGAAAGUUUGCGGCUCAACCGUAAAAUUGCAGUUGAAACUGGCAGUCUUGAGUACAGUAGAGGUGGGCGGAAUUCGUGGUGUAGCGGUGAAAUGCGUAGAUAUCACGAAGAACUCCGAUUGCGAAGGCAGUUCACUGGACUGCAACUGACACUGAGGCUCGAAAGUGUGGGUAUCAAACAGGAUUAGAUACCCGAGUAGUC
rnacentral:rRNA from 1 species